rnacentral:lncRNA from 1 species
UUAGAGGAUCUGGUGGGAAGGGCACGUGUUCACACGGAGGGGACAGUUGACCCUUCCACGUACCAUUUUGCAGAGUGAGCCCUACACAACUCCAUAACGCCUUCCUCUGAAGACUAGUUUUUAUAGUACAGGGGAAACCUGGCCAGUGUUUACCUGCCACGGGACCUUGGAUGAGUCUGUUGCCUGGCUGGGCUGGCCAUGUCAGCCUUCUUUGUAGCCUGAGCCAGCCUUCCAGCCUCAGGGGGGUGUUGGAGACUCAUCUGAUGACAUCAUGUCAUUGGUCGACCAACAGCAAAGCAGAGUGCUUUAUAACUCCAGCAAACAUUCCACGAGGACCUCUCGGUACUGGGGGUGCCAGGGAAAAGGAUGAUUCAGAAGUUGCACCCCCCCAGGUGGGGGAGGAGCUAGGGUUGGAGGAGGAUCCAGUGGUAGGACGGAAGAGAAUGUAGUCCCAAAACAAAGCAAGCUUUGUCCAGUUCUCCUCUUUGUUUUAUCUUGUUAGUUAACCUAUUUUGAAUUUCAAAUAACAUUAUGGAAGGGCUGCACUGAGAAUAGUUCUUAUGCUUGGAGGCGGCUCCAGAGCUUUGGAAAAUUAAAAACAAACAAAAAAAAAAAAA